rnacentral:misc_RNA from 1 species
UGGCUGGACGGCCUGUGAAGACCAUCUUUGAGGCAGAUGAAAGGUCAUGAGCCGUACAUCUUCUGCUUCCGAGUUAAGUUCUAUCCGCCGGACCCGAGCAAGCUGCAGGAGGAGAUCACGCGCUACCAGCUGUUCCUGCAGAUGCGCAGGGACCUGCUCCACGGCAGAUUGUUCUGCUCUCCCAGCGACUCAGCCUGGCUCGCCGCGCACGUCAUACAGUCUGAGCUUGGAGACUACGACCCAGACGUACAUCAGGAGGGAUACGUGUCAGAGUUCAAGGUCCUGCUGAAGCAGACACCCAAGCAGGAGGAGAAGAUUGCUGAGAUUCACCAAGCUCAGCUCAGCGGUCAGACUCCGGCCACGGCCGAACUCAACUUCAUCAAGAAGGCAUCGGCGUUCGACACGUAUGGAGUUGACCCUCAUCCUGUGAAGGACCAGAAAGGCAGUCACCUGUAUGUGGGCAUCACCCACACUGGCAUCAUGACCUUCCAGGGAAACAAGAAGACACACCAUUUCAAAUGGCCUGACGUGCAAAAGCUUCACUUUGAAGGCAAGAUGUUCAUCAUCCACCUGACGUAUAAUGAGAAGAAGCAUGCAUGUGGCUUCAAGUGUCCGACCGUCGCCGCCUGCAGGCAUCUGUGGAAGUGCUCCGUCGAACAGAAGACAUUCUGGACGGUUCCCAGCUCACGGGAGGUGACGACAUUCUCUUCCGGCUCCUCUACCCUGAUGACCCUCGCCCGCGGCUCAAGGUUCCGCUACAGUGGCCGCACCGAGCGAGAGAUUCUGGAGAACAGGGUAAACCGUGACCCUCCGGACUUCUCACGGUCUUCUGUGAAGCAGCAGGCACCAAAGAGGAAGAAGAAGGGCGCUUAUAUCUCCAACUCUGCCAAGGAGAUCUCGCACGAUUCGAUGGGGGAUGAGCCGACGACCCCGGGAACCCCGGAGAGCCCCAGUUCUCCAUCGUCGCUGAUGGACCAGCAGCCAGACACGAUCCUGGAGGAGCCGCCGCAGGAGGCAGCCGUCGACGUGCCGCUCGUGAGGGAGACAAGCGGCUGGGAGAAGACGAACAGUGGCUGGAAGUACGCGCCAAUGCACUCGCUCGACCUCGACGAGUCAGCUAUCAGGAACCUCGACCUGAGCAUGGAAUCAGACGUGUUCCAAUCGUCGGCCGUCAACCACGUUCACGCCUCGCCGCGCGACGCUACCGCCGCCGCCGCCGCCACGUCUACCCCGCGUAACCCCGAACCUCCGAAGCAGCUGUGGGCGCAGGAUGCGUCGCCGGGCGCAGAGGGAGCGGCCGCCGCCGCCGGGGUCAAGGGUCGGUCGUGGGCACGGACGGUCGUCGCGACGGCGUUUGUCAUGACGCUGCUCACGCUCAUUGCCAUCGUGCUCGUCAUGGAGCUCGACGCUCUGCGCGACCUCCGCGCGACACCAGAGGUCGCCGCUCUCCGCGCGCAGUACUACGCGCCGGCGAAGAGGGCGCUCGGCAUCCCGUGAGGUGCGCCGGCGCCACCUGUCGGCGGAGGAACGGAGGGUGACGACAGAGGGAGCCACGGUGGGUGCAUGUCGGAGGGAGUCGCUGACCCACCGGGGAUCAUUUCGUCAUUGGUUUAGAGAUCCAACUAGUUUCGCAUCUAGUUGCCUGUUUCACUACGGAUAAAUGGAGUAGAGAUUGGAGUAGUAGUUCCUUGAUCAGCACUAGUACUAUAGCACGUGAGAUGCAGCAUACCUUGACAAGCCUCAGGGCCUUUCCUGCACUGUCGUGCAAGCGCACGAUUUUGCAGCAAAUAUGAAAGACCACAAAUACGAAUUGUUUUUGUCCUUAUAAGGAUGUGAAUGCACAAAUGAAUGAUACAGUGAUUACAGCCAACUUCUAUUUCUAUCAGGGGUACUGGGUCACAGUUUUAAUUGAACUAUGUAUCGCCGAAUUAAACUAUAUAUGUCGUUGCUGCGACCCGCACCCAAGCCCUGCCGACGAGCUAUUUUACAUAUUUGUCGGAGAGACGUAUUUUUACAGAUUUGACAUUCCACGAGGGAAUCGUAGUAGAUUAAUCGUGUAUCGUAAUCAUUUAAUUACGUACUUUAAACAUGUACAUUCCACUGGCGACUAUAUUUACGGGGAGAGCGGUGGACGGACGGAAUUUUUCGGUAACUUGUCCUGUACAUAUAUAUUUAACUGUCGCCGUUCGUUAAAAGACGACUUUUUAAAUGGAGUGGAUUCAAUUUUUAACGUGCACUUGUUUCGGCGAAGUGAUUAAUGAUCCAUCAUUUAGGCGUAGAUGUAGUCGUAACGUCGUUGUCCAUACUAAUCCCAGCGUGGAUAGCAUUCUAAAUAAUCUUUUCUGGGCGAAUAACAUUUCAUAUCUAGGAACGCAUAUAUCGUCACUGAUCUGGUGACGGAGUCAUCGCCUCCUGCGAGUUUGAAACUGUAAUUUUAGUGAAGUGUAAUUUUAUAAUCUCUAGGGACGCGUAGCCUAACACUAAAUCAAAACUUUCACGAUGGCUACUUCUAUUAAUUAAGGCAUUCUGGCGUUGGGGUUGGGGGCACGGUUAGGGCGAUGAUUAACGUUGUUACCUAGUCUUCCCCCUAUCCUGGUGCUCUCUUCCAAGAAACCCUAAUCGCGUAAUGUACAAUGUACCAGACCAUCUGGUUUAACGAGGGCCAAAUUUACAUACAUACACCUGUCUAUCAAAUACAGAAAUCAUAACUGUGACGUCGUACAUGCUACAGAACUAUGACGGCGUGGACGCCACGGAACUGUGACGUACACGUCACAGAACUAUGACGUACACCUCACAGAACUGUUACGUGCACGCCACAUAAAUAUGUAGUGUAAACCACAGAACUAAGAAGUCUCGUCUGACGUGUUACUGCUCACCUGCGUCACGUGAUGUACGGAGCAACGAUGACGCUCAUGCGCUGGUCUCCCCGGGAAGGUACUGUGGGCGUGGCCGAGCCUGCAUCCUCGUGUUACGUCACCAAACGCUGCGAGUUUAGAAUAUAGUCGUUAGUUAAUUUGUCGCUAAGACGUCGUGGUGUUCCCUGGAUGACUAAACAUACCGCAGGUUGCACAUUCCAAUUAUUUGUGGAAGUACGGAUGUCCUAUAUAUACACGUUUACAUGUACGUAUAUACGCGUACAUAUGUAUAUAACAACAGGUAUAGGUUCCCGUUUGAUUCCCCGUUGAAGAUAUUAGUCGGAUUGUAGCGAUACGUUUGUGCGUUUUUAGCGUUCUGUACGGAAUCGUGUGCAUGAAAUUUUUCGCCUCUCGCGUUUUGGGUGCAGAGGGGAGAGAGAUGCGUCUGCGCACUCGUGGGUGGUGGGUGUUUUUUUUUAAAUGGAAAAAACGUGCUUUGUACUUGUGUUCUUUCUAUACUCCCAGUGACCUGUUCGUGUUAUCUCGCGUGAUUUCCAAGCAUCGUGCAGCUUCACAGAAUCGUACCUCGCUUCACCCCCUAAUUAAUAAUAGUGAUAAUAAUUAGCAUAUUUAUUUUUACCCGCCAUUAAUGCGUAUUUAAUUAGUAGUUACAAUCGUUCUACAGGUUAUUUGUCAUAAUUAAUAUUUUUGUAAUACGGAUGAUGAUGAUGAUGAUGAUGAUGAUGAUGAUGACGAUGGUGUUGAUGAUGACGACGAUGACGAUCGUGAUUAUAAAGGAGAGGUGAGAGUGGGAUGUACGGGGAGGCGGUAUUGUGUUAAUAGGUGGCAGGUUAAAAUGUAAUCGACUGCCAAGGUGUGACGCCCUGGCGGUUUUCGUAAUGCGUGUGUUUCUGUGGCGUUAGAGUUUGAAACCGAGUUACUAGUGAUUUCUACUGUUUUUACUGCGAGCGUUUUCGAGUCAGUGAUAUUAUUAACUCGGACCAUCGACGUAAUUGGCGAACUGGCACGGCGAUUGCAGGUGUAUUACCUUAUGAUCGCAGGUGUGACAUCUGUGAUUGCAGGUGUGACAUCUGUGAUUGCAGGUCUGGCAUCUGUGAUUGCAGGUGUGGUAUCUGUGAUUGCAGGUGUGGCAUCUGUGAUUGCAGGUCUGGCAUCUGUGAUUGCAGGUGUGGUAUCUGUGAUUGCAGGUGUGACAUCUGUGAUUGCAGGUGUGUUACCUAUGAUCACAGAUGUGGCAUCUGUGAUUGCAGGUGUGUUACUUAUGAUCACAGGUGUGACAUCUGUAAUUGCAGGUGUGUCACCUGUGAUUACACGUGUAACAUCUGUGAUUGAAGGUGUGACACCUGUGAUUACACGUGUGACGUCGGUGAUUGUAGUUCUGUCACCUGUGAUUGCAGGUAUGAUCAUCAGGUAACAACUCAAUGUCGUUCCUAUCUAGCGGGGAGCAUCAUCGUGUAGUGACAACAAUUUACUAUGUGUAGAAGAACUAGAAUAAGGCAUCGUCAAUCGCGUCGUGAUGAGCGUGGUUGUACUUGUAGCUUCAAAUCAUUACCUGGGUAUAGGAAGACGGGAGAACGGGAGACACGUGUUGGUGUGUAUAAUUGUAUGUAACUCACUAACUGUAAAGUUACGGAGAAGUUGGGAGAACUAUAGAUGUUCACGCUUGAGGUAGAAAGAACACUGUGCCAUCGUAUAGAUGUAAUAUUGCAUAAGGUGUAGUAGGAGACAAAUAGACAGUAUCGUUACGGCUGACUGUCGUUGUGGUUCUCGUUGCCGUGUCUCGCAUUCAAACGCUACAAACGCGAGCGUACUGCAGUGAAUAUAUACGAGUGUAGUCGUUGCGACGCUAGCGUCAUCGCUCGGCUGUCGCGGUGGCGAACUCGUUUCAGAACUGUCGUGAUCUUAGCAUGGAAUUUUAGUUUGCACGUUUUAUCAUAUACUUACCUAAAAUGUGAAUAAAAUCGAAUAAAGAUGACCAAUAACUAAA